UACGUAGGGUGCGAGCGUUGCCCGGAUUUAUUGGGCGUAAAGGGUGCGUAGGUGGCGCCGUAAGUCAGGUGUGAAAUGCCCGGGCUUAACCUGGGAAUGGCAUUGGUGACUGCACGGCUAGAGUGUGUCAGAGGGGGGUAGAAUUCCACGUGUAGCAGUGAAAUGCGUAGAGAUGUGGAGGAAUACCGAUGGCGAAGGCAGCCCCCUGGGAUAACACUGACGCUCAUGCACGAAAGCGUGGGGAGCAAACAGG
rnacentral:rRNA from 1 species